AACGAACGCUGGCGGCAUGCCUAACACAUGCAAGUCGAACGAGACCGUCGGGUCUAGUGGCGCAGGGGUGCGUAACGCGUGGGAACUUGCCCGUGGGUUCGGAAUAACUCCCCGAAAGGGGUGCUAAUACAGGAGAAUGUCAUAGGACCAAGGAUUUAUGGCCACUGGGUGGGGCCGCGUUGGAUUAGCUGGUUGGUAGGGUAAAAGCAUACCAAGGCGACGAUGCAUAGCUGGUGGGAGAGGAUGACCAGCCACGCUGGGAGUGAGACACGGACCAGACUCGUACGGGAGGGAGCAGUAGGGUAUAUUAGGCGAUGAGCGCAGGUCUGAUCCAGCAAUGUCGCGUGAGUGAUGCAGGGCUUAGGAUUGUAAAGCUCUUUUACCCGGGGUGAUAGUGACAGUACCGGGAGAAUAAGCUCCGGCUAACUACGUG
rnacentral:rRNA from 1 species